CAAGUAGCCGGGAUUACAGGCGUCUGCCACCACGCCUGACUAAUUUUUUUCUAUUUUUAGCAGAGACAGGGUUUCACUACCUUGCCCAGCCUGGUCUUGCACUCCUGACCUCAUGAUCCACCCGCCUCGGUCUCACAAAGUGCUGGGAUGACAGGCGUGAGCCACCGUGCCCAGACGCUUACUUCUUUUUUCACUUAGUUUUACAUUACAAGCGUUUACUUACAUACUUUCUUACUUCCUUACGUGGGACUACAGGCAUGCACCACCACACCGGUUAACUUUUAUAAUGUUUGUCAUGCUUUCCGUACGUACGUACGUACGUACGUACGUAUGUAUGUAUGUAUGUAUGUACGUGACAUGGGGUUCGAGGUUCUAUCACGUUGCCCAGGCUGGUCUCCAACUCCUGUUCUCAAUCACUCCGCCUGCCUCGGCCACCCACACUGCUGCUAUUACAGGCGUGAGCCAUUGCGCCUAGCUCAUUCUAUAUUUGCUCCUCUCUCUCUCUCUCUCUCUCUCUCUCUCUCUCUCUCUCUCUCUCUCCCCCCCCCUCCCCCCCAUUCAUCUUCUCAGUAGGGAUGUGGUCUUGCUUUCUGGUCCACGCUCUGGGCACAUACAAUCUCUUUUUAAACGUCUAUUAUUAUUACUAUUACUAUUACUAUUAUUAUUAUUAUUAUUAUUAUUAUUAUUAUUAUUGCAGGUAUCGUCUCACAUAUCGAGAUGAUCUCAAACUUCUGGGGGGGCUCCAGCGAUCAUACCACAUCGGCCUCCCAGACUGCUGUGAUGACACGCGUGGGCAAGCCCGGGCUCCCACCGCAGCCACCGCACGCCGUGGGAUUUCCAUGGGAGAGGUAUGGGAGAGGACUGACGCGGCUUCCAGAUCUAUAUCCUGCCAGACGUGUCUGACUCAGCGUCCACCACAGGCUGCCUGCCACCUUCCAGGGAGCUCUGAGGCGGAUGCCCCCCUCACGUCCUGCCACCCUCCCCAGGCUGGCCUGUGCCGGCCGACCCCAGGGGAAUGGCGUGGACGCUGCUUUCGAAUGCUCCAGCGAAGACUUCUACCAGAUGGCCCGGGUGGGCCGGAUGGGACGAGACUGGAGCACCCCGGACCGUGCUGUUCUUAGGGGCCUGCCUUCAGCUUCCUCCGGCCUGAAGACAACUUCCCAUCAGAGCCUCUUUUCUUCCCUUUCUCCACCACAGAGAUGACACGCGUGAGAGGGAGAAACAGCUCAACAGAUACUGCUUAUCUUCCUCUGUGCAACCCUCAGUCAUCUACAGACACACAGGUGACUAGACAGGGACCCGAAUCAAACACCAUUUCCGGGUCCUCGUGUUGGGAUUGGUCUCUCUCUCUCUCUCUCUCUCUCUCUCUCUCUCUCUCUCUCACACACACACACACACACACACACACACACACACACCCCACACACACUUUCCACAUCUAGUUCACAAACCACACUAAUUUACCCCCUUAAGAGCAUGCAGGCUGAGUAAACCGCACCCCACCCUCCCUCCACCCGGCGGCUGAGGAAACCCCUUCUCUACCAUUUAUUAACAAGAUUAUCUGGGUG
rnacentral:lncRNA from 1 species